GAUGAACGCUGGCGGCGUGCCUAAUACAUGCAAGUCGAGCGAACAGACGAGGAGCUUGCUCCUCUGACGUUAGCGGCGGACGGGUGAGUAACACGUGGAUAACCUACCUAUAAGACUGGGAUAACUUCGGGAAACCGGAGCUAAUACCGGAUAAUAUAUUGAACCGCAUGGUUCAAUAGUGAAAGACGGUUUUGCUGUCACUUAUAGAUGGAUCCGCGCCGCAUUAGCUAGUUGGUAAGGUAACGGCUUACCAAGGCGACGAUGCGUAUCCGACCUGAGAGGGUGAGCGGCCACACUGGAACGGAGACCCGGUCCAGACUCCUACGGGAGGCAGCAGUAGGGAAUCGUCCGCAAUGGGCGAAAGCCUGACGGAGCAACGCCGCGGGAGUGAUGAAGGUCUUCGGAUCGUAAAACUCUGUUAUUAGGGAAGAACAAAUGUGUAAGUAACUAUGCGCGUCUUGACGGUACCUAAUCAGAAAGCCACGGCUAACUACGUG
rnacentral:rRNA from 1 species